GACGAACACUGGCGGCGUGCUUAACACAUGCAAGUCGAACGGUAAGGCCCUUCGGGGUACACGAGUGGCGAACGGGUGAGUAACACGUGGGUGAUCUGCCCUGCACUUCGGGAUAAGCCUGGGAAACUGGGUCUAAUACCGGAUAGGACCACUGCCUGCAUGGGUGGUGGUGGAAAGCUUUUGCGGUGUGGGAUGGGCCCGCGGCCUAUCAGCUUGUUGGUGGGGUGAUGGCCUACCAAGGCGACGACGGGUAGCCGGCCUGAGAGGGUGACCGGGCACACUGGGACUGAGAUACGGCCCAGAGUCCUACGGGAGGCAGCAGGGGGGAAUAUUGCACAAUGGGCGCAAGCCUGAUGCAGCGACGCCGCGUGAGGGAUGACGGCCUUCGGGUUGUAAACCUCUUUCAGCACCGACGAAGCGCAAGUGACGGUAGGUGCAGAAGAAGGACCGGCCAACUACGUGCCAGCAGCCGCCGUAA
rnacentral:rRNA from 1 species